rnacentral:misc_RNA from 1 species
GAUGAAGAACGUAGCGAAAUGCGAUAAGUAAUGUGAAUUGCAGAAUUCAGUGAAUCAUCGAAUCUUUGAACGCACAUUGCGCCCCUUGGUAUUCCGAGGGGCAUGCCUGUUCGAGCGUCAUUAUAACCCUCAAGCUCAGCUUGGUGUUGGGGCCUGCUGCACUGGCAGCCCUUAAAAUCAGUGGCGGCGCCAUCUGGCUCUAAGCGAAGUAAUUCUUCUCGCUAUGGAGUCCUGGUGGAUGCUUGCCAUCAACCCCCAAUUUUUCUAUGGUUGACCUCGGAUCAGGUAGGGAUACCCGCUGAACUUAAGCAUAUCAAUAAGCGGAGGA